GUGUCCCCCGGUGCCCCAUCCCGAGCGAGGGGUCCAUCACCGGCGGUGCCUCCCGAGCCAGGAGCGAAGGAAGGCGGCGAUGCGCACCGUGUUGUUUUGUCCCUGUCAGCAGUGAGGGGCCAUGAAAAGCCCAGGGGACGGGCAGGAGUCCCCAUGGAGCUGUGCAGGACAGGAGGAUGGAGCCUGGACAUCGGGAUGCUGGUUGUAGGCUCAGCUUGGAGCAGGGGCUGCCUGAGACUCCUCACUGGGGGUAGAGAAUCUGCAGCCUCCCCACGGGGGCAGAACUCACCUCUCCUCCUCUCCUGAGGGAAGGACAACACCCAGACAAGGAUGUGAUUCCCAGGAAACAACGAUUGAGAUCCAGGUUUAACAGAACUCCCAGUCCUUCCCUUCCAGCCUCUUCUGUCUGCAAAUGUUUUCCCAACACUGAUUGAUCUGAGCACAGUUAUCUGGUGCAGAGUUGGAGAUGAAGGUUCUGAUGGAGCUUGAUUGAAUUGCCAAAAACCUGUUCGCUCAGUUAUGGCUCUGACAAAUGGAUCCAUCUGAGCUGCUGAGUUUAAUGUGUUUUUUUUUUAAAUUUAGUACCAGCAUGUUCUUGUUCUGGGCUGGCAAGGGAGUGAAAGCCAAGGGGAAGGUGUCCAAAUAGCAUAAUUUUGUCCUGGUUCAAAACAAGGGCUUGUCAAGAGGAAAGUUGAAGGUCAUUUGGGUUAAACCCAAAUUUAAAAAAAAAAAAAUAAAAGGAUUGUGUUCUCGUCUUUUUGUCUCUUCUCUGCAUUUUAAAGAAACAGCAGUAUUUUUCAGAGGGCAAAUAGUUGCUGAAACGUUUCCAACUUGUUUCUAGAACGCUUGCAGGAUGCUUUUCCUCAAAGCAUCACCAAAGGAGAGAUCUGGAGUCACCUACUCAGGUUUGCCAGCAAGAAUUAAGCCCAGGGGCCACCUCUGCAUGGCCAGUGAGGACCAGGGCAAGGGAUGGGGUCAUGAUGCCCAGUGUGGCUGCACCCCAUGGUAUAAAAUGAGAGGCAGAGGAAAUGUGGUGCUCUAUUACCUUCAAAGAGUUUGGAAAUGCAAAAAAGUUCUCCUCAACAGAAAUAGUUCUUUUGACAUCAUUCCUCUUCUAAAUGGUUUCAAGAUGAAUUCCAAGGAGAAUUUCACAAAAGAAAAAGAAAGGCCAUUCAUCGAACAUUUGUUUCUUAAAAACCUGCAGCUGAUCUAUAAUGUAUUGCCAUGUCGGCAUCUGAAAUAAAAUUAUAACAAUUUUACACUA